GUUAAUAUUCCUUCGGAAUAGAGCAACAAAGAAUGAGCGAGCGAGAUGUCACUAUCUGCAACCCUGUGUGAUAAAAAGAGAUGUGUGAUGCUAUCAUCGUCACGUCAAUAGAACCAUUUUUGCAAAAGAUUUGACAGGCAGUGACACAUAGAGGCACAAAGCAGAAUUUCAAAUCACAGUUUUUUCUAAAAAUUUCGUAAAAUCCUGUAUAGUUUUGGAAUUUUUUUAUUGUAAUACAAUGGUGACCUGUUCCGUCCUUGAUUGUGAUGUAAACCAGAGAAAUAAUCCCGCAAAAUAUUCAUUUCACAGAUUUCCGACUAACGAAGAUGUAAGAAAAACAUGGCUCAAAUUAAUUAAUCGUCCAAAUUGGAUUCCAACUAAAUAUGCCACUUUAUGUAGCAAACAUUUUGAUAGUAAAUGUUUUCGAAAAAUUGGAGCCAGAAUCACGUUGAAAAAAUGUGCAAUCCCUACAGAGUUUGUUCCGAUGAAAGUAAAGCCUACACGCACAAUGUCGUCGUACGUGAACAGAGAUAUUUUACCAGAGGGAUCUACAUUAUCGUCUAGAUCUCCGCCGCCGACACCACAGCUUCAGCCCACACCAGAGGGAUCUACAUUAUCGUCUAGAUCUCCGCCGCCGACACCACAGCUUCAGCCCACACCAUCGACCUCUUUCCAAAAACUUAAAUCUAAAUGCGCAAAAUUGCAAGAAAAAAUAAAAAAGAAAACGCAACUCAUUAGAAACUUAAGAUCACAAAAUAAACGAACUAAAAUUAAAGUUGUAACCUUAGCAUCUUUUUUUCGUAAGAAAUUGUAACAAAAUAUUGCGCUAUUUUUUUAUUGCGCUGAUUCUGCUGCACACUGAUGUCUGGAUCCUUUAAUGGAUGGUAUUGUUUGUUUACACAUACAAUGUCAUUAUUUUGUUGCAAUUUCUUACAAAACUUGCGCGCAAACAGCAAAUCUAGUAUGAAAAUCAUCAAACUUCUGAUGCUCGUAACUCAUUUCAGGCUGAGUUUAGAGGUAUACAGUCAUGUCAUAGUAAGUUUGGUUUAUUACACUAUUUUGUAAUCAAAAACCAAGGUUUGGUCGAUGGCCGCGCGAAAAAAAAAAGACGCCAAUUUCCGGCAUUGUCUUUUAUUAUUACAUCGCAUUCGUUAGAAUCCUAUUUUUUACAUUAUCGUCAGAAUUAUCAUUUUUAAUUAUUGACUUACUCUUACUAAUUAGAAAUCAGAAAGUUUGUAUGGAUGUCUUGAUGUUUGUUGCUCUUUCAA